rnacentral:rRNA from 1 species
ACUCCUACGGGAGGCAGCAGUGGGGAAUAUUGCACAAUGGGCGCAAGCCUGAUGCAGCCAUGCCGCGUGUAUGAAGAAGGCCUUCGGGUUGUAAAGUACUUUCAGCAGUGAGGAAGGCGGGGUACGUUAAUAGCGUGCUCGUUUUGACGUAGCUGCAGAAAGAAGCACCGGGCUAACUCCGUGCCAGCAGCCGCGGUAAUACGGAGGGUGCGAGCGUUAAUCGGAAUUACUGGGCGUAAAGCGCAUGCAGGUGGUUUGUUAAGUCAGAUGUGAAAGCCCGGGGCUCAACCUCGGAAUAGCAUUUGAAAACUGGCAGACUAGAGUACUUAGAGGGGGGUUAGAAUUUCAGGUGUAGCGGUGAAAUGCGUAGAGAUCUGAAGGAAUACCGGUGGCGAAGGCGGCCCCCUGGACAGAUACUGACACUCAGAUGCGAAAGCGUGGGGAGCAAACAGGAUUAGAUACCCUGGUAGGAUA